AAUGGAAAGUUUCUGGAAAUUUACCGGAAAUUUUCCGCCCCUUUGCAACCCUAGUGAGGAGUGUUUCGCAGAUGUGUGUGGUGUGUGUGUGUUCAGGACCGGCGACCUGGGCCAUGGCCACCUCCAAGCCCGACAUCCUCAUGGUCCUGCUCAGCAAGCUGGUCCAGGAAGGAGACAAGCUGUACAAGCAGGGGAAGGUGAUGGAGGCGGCGCUGUCCUACCAGUCGGCGCUGCAGAAGUUCCCCGGAGACGAGCUGAAGACGUUCAAGCAGCUGCGCGUCUGCGUCCUGCUCAACCUGUCGCGCUGCCGCCGCAAGAUGAACGACUUCAGCCUGGCGGAGGAGUUCGCCACCAAAGCUCUGGAGCUGAAAGCCAAAUCGUACGAAGCUUUUUACGCCCGAGCUCGAGCCAAACGCAGCCGCAGGCAGUUCCACACCGCGCUGGAGGACCUGAUGGAGGCCAGCCGCCUCUGCCCGUCCAACCGCGAGAUCCAGCGCCUGCUGUCCCGGGUCCGGGAGGAGUGCCGGCAGCAGCAGGACGGCGCCCCCUGCAGGGACUCGGGUACCUGCCGGUGCCGGACCGCGAGGGGCUGACGGAGGAGGAGGAGGAGCAGGAGGCGGAGGAGGACUCCCUGCGCCCUCCUCCGCCACCCCGCUGCCGGUCUGGGGGUCCGUCGCCCGCCUCGCUGUCCCCGACCCACCUGUACCAGCAGCACCUCCCCGGCCCCGCCCACUCCGCCCCCCUGUCGCCGCCCCCGCCCCAGCACCGAGCCGGCUCCAGGUCUGAGGCCCCUCAGAGGCCCUUCCCGGUGCAGACCCAGUGGCUCCAGCCCGCCGUGGUCCAGGUGGUGCGGAGCGGCCAGCCCUCCGGCGUGGUUCUGGGAGGCUCCGCCUACUCCCCGUUCGCCCACCUGCCCCAGGAGCUGGCCGAGCUGGGGGAGGGCUUCUGCCCGGGCCGCCAGGUCCAGGCCGCGGCGCCGUACGAGCCGGAGGACCAGGACCAGGACUUGAUCUGCCAGGUGAGACCUCCGCCUUCGUACGGCCGCGGGGCGGCGGCGGCGGGGGCGGAGCGCGGCGCCGUGAACCGCUUCGCGCCGACUCGUCAGUUCAGCCGGAACCAGUCCAAAGCGGCCCACUACCCCAUGGAGGUCACCGAGGCGGCCCUGGGCCCGCCCGACCGGUUCCCGCCGUCACACGAGUACCAGUACCACCAGCAGGGCGGCCUGCGCCGGCCCGUCAGCGCCACCCGUCCUCCGCCGCCCCUCCCGAGGCCCCUCAUCCACUCCCAGAGCGUCAGCGUUCGAUUCCCCUCCGUGGCGGCGGCGGCCAGCCGGUGGCGCCCAGCUUCAGGAGCUCCGCCUCCGCCCAGCACAUGGACCCGCCCUCCGAGCUGGGGGCCGUCCCCGGUUACCACGACGACCUCUUCCUCCUCUCCUCCCCGCCGUCGGACGCGUGCAUGGCGGGGGGCGGGACUUACCCCGGGGAGGCGGCGCGCGCGCCAGGAACACGCCCUUCAUGGGCGUGAUGGACCGGACGGCGCGGCCGUACCAGCAGUACCCGGCUCCGCCCGGUCCGCCGUCCGGCCUCAGCCCCUCCCGGUCCUGGGCCGUGUCCUCGGUGGACACCGUCCUCACCUCGCCCAGCAAGAGCCCCUCGGCGCAGGGCGUCUUCGCCCCGUCCUCCAUCGCCUACCACAACCGCAGCAACAACAACGCCCACAACGGCCACCAUCUCCACGACAGCCGGCCGGACCCGUACGAGGCCGCGCCGGCCGCCGGCCCGCUGAAGGUCGCCGGUCAGAGUCCGUCCUACCUGGACGUCAAGGUGGCCCGGACGCUGCCGGUGACGCACAGCCGCUCCGAGCGCCCGGGGCCCGCCUCGCCCGUCAAGCCAAAACGGCCCUUCGUGGAGUCCAACGUGUAGAACCGGCGCGACUCACCCGAGGACGCCCGGUCCGACGUUCACCGACCGGCGCACUGAAACCGACUCUCAACCUGCAGAAGAAGAACUUCGAAUCAAGACUCGGAACAUGUUAGGUUCUGAGAAUCGCCUCAGAAAGCUUUUGGAAAGUAGCACAAGAAGGAUUCCGUUUCUCUCCGGUUGCGUUUGUCUGGCUUUGAGACGGACGUCACGGCCCGGAACGUGACCGGUCCGACCCUGUUCCCGACCCCAAGCCAUAGUUUGAGAAACCAGCAGGAUGAAACACUGACUCCUAUGUGUACAAAACGAUAUUUAUCUUUUUUAAGUUAUGUCUGUAUGAAACUGUUCCCGUCCUUUAUUUUGGAAACAUUCAAAGCUCAGUUUCUUUAUUUUAUUGUUUUUUGCUCUGUUAAAAAAAAAAGAAAAAACCUGAAAAGGGGCGUUGAUCCCUUCUGGAUGUCCUGUCGAGAUGCCUUGUCAAAGUUGAUUUUUUUUUUUUUUUUUUUUUUUCACUAUUAAGUUUUUUUGUAUUUCGCAGUCCAAAUCUAGCUAAUUUAUGCAAACCGCCCUCAAAACCCCCACAACUCUUCUAACAGGGCUCUUCGCGGAAUCUUUUAGCUCGCUGCUGGUUUGGAUCCAUCGUCGGUGUUUUAGUAAAAAUGCUAAUUGACUGUUAGCCAACCUCCUUCAUUUAGCAUCAACAUCAGUCGUCACCUUCCAACAGUCGAUGCAUUUAAGCACGACACUUUCUCGUGGUUUGUUUUGAGCGGACAGACGUAGCGACACAUUCUCCAAAAGCACAAGUUUUUAGAAACUUCCACCAGUUUGAAAAAAAAAAAAACAUUGGCAGGAAAUGAUCCAGUUUGAAAUGUAAGGCAGCGUUGGCGUUUGUCUGCUUGACUCAAGUCAACCAAGAAAACAUUUUAGUGUAAGAAUAAAAUUUGCUGGAGUUCUGUUUUUAAGGAAGUACCACGUAGAUCCAUUAUCCUGUGGUGCUGUCACAUCCAUUGAUCGACAUGUUUCCAUCGUUAAGAGUUCCGAGUUCACGUUCUUUAUCUGACAUGAUGCCAGCAGAGCGCAGUGAUGCUAGCGGGGUUUUUUUCCACAGCGGACUAAACUUUGCUUUCUGAAUUGUACUUUCUGCACACGGAGGCCUGUUUUUCUACGUUCCUUUUUCCCGGUGACUCGUUGGUCACUUUCAGUUUCUGCUGCUCAGGAGUUCCAGGCGAAGCCCGCAGGAGACGGAGAGUUGCAUCUGUUUGGACAUUGAACAUUGAUUUGAAGCGAUAGGAAGCGUUGCAUCAUGGGAAGAGGUCGUCUCGGUGUAUCUGUGUGUCUCCUGGAUCCAGGUGAAAGACACGAAGCCUGCCAGUCCAUUGUACUUUGAGUUGUUUUUGGGGAUUCGGUCCCUCGGCGGGGUUUCGGGGUCGGUCGUCGGGCUUUUCCACUCUGUGUAACAUAAGUUAUUUAAUUCCAGGAAGAAAGUCAUUGUUGAACAUUGAGAAGAAAGACGAAUGUGUUCGGAAGCAGCUCAGAACGUUGGAAAGAGGAAUAAAGCUGAAUCAAAACGUCUUUUCUUCUCU
rnacentral:lncRNA from 1 species